rnacentral:rRNA from 1 species
AGAGUUUGAUCCUGGCUCAGAACGAACGCUGGCGGCAGGCCUAACACAUGCAAGUCGAGCGAGGGGUAACCCUAGCGGCGGACGGGUGAGUAACGCGUGGGAACGUGCCCUUUGCUACGGAAUAGCCCCUGGAAACGGGGAGUAAUACCGUAUGAGCCCUUAGGGGGAAAGAUUUAUCGGCAAAGGAUCGGCCCGCGUUGGAUUAGGUAGUUGGUGGGGUAAUGGCCUACCAAGCCGACGAUCCAUAGCUGGUUUGAGAGGAUGAUCAGCCACACUGGGACUGAGACACGGCCCAGACUCCUACGGGAGGCAGCAGUGGGGAAUCUUAGACAAUGGGCGCAAGCCUGAUCUAGCCAUGCCGCGUGAGCGAUGAAGGCCUUAGGGUUGUAAAGCUCUUUCAGGGGGGAAGAUAAUGACUGUACCCCCAGAAGAAGCCCCGGCUAACUCCGUGCCAGCAGCCGCGGUAAUACGGAGGGGGCUAGCGUUGUUCGGAAUUACUGGGCGUAAGGCGCACGUAGGCGGACUGGAAAGUCAGGGGUGAAAUCCCGGGG